CCCUUAGAUGUUCUGGGCCGCACGCGCGCUACACUGAUGCAUUCAACGAGUCUAAAACCUGGUCUGAUAGGGCUGGGUAAUCUUUUGAAUGUGCAUCGUGAUUGGGAUAGAUGAUUGCAAUUCUUCAUCUUCAACGAGGAAUGCCUAGUAAACGCAAGUCAUCAGCUUGCAUUGAUUACGUCCCUGCCCUUUGUACACACCGCCCGUCGCUCCUACCGAUUGAAUGUUUCGAUGAAUACCAUGGACUGAGAGUAUGAAUGGGUUCGCCUAUUUCUGCUUCUCGGGAAGUGGAGUAAAUCUUAACAUUUAGAGGAAGGAGAAGUCGUAACA
rnacentral:rRNA from 1 species